rnacentral:rRNA from 1 species
UACGUAGGGCGCAAGCGUUGUCCGGAAUUAUUGGGCGUAAAGAGCUCGUAGGCGGUCUGUCGCGUCCGUUGUGAAAACUCGAGGCUCAACCUCGGGCUUGCAGUGGAUACGGGCAGACUAGAGUGCGGUAGGGGAGACUGGAAUUCCUGGUGUAGCGGUGGAAUGCGCAGAUAUCAGGAGGAACACCGGUGGCGAAGGCGGGUCUCUGGGCCGAUACUGACGCUGAGGAGCGAAAGCGUGGGGAGCAAACAGG